rnacentral:rRNA from 2 species
UUGGAGAGUUUGAUCCUGGCUCAGAGUGAACGCUGGCGGCGUGGUUUAGGCAUGCAAGUCGAGCGGAUCCAGAUUGACUUGAGUGGCCGCAAGGCUGCGAGAGUUGGUCUAGAUUAGCGGCAAACGGGUGAGUAACACGCGGGUAAUCUACCUUUGAGACCGGCAUAACACUUGGAAACGGGUGCUAAUUCCGGGUAAGACCACGGCAUCGCAUGGUGCUGUGAGAAUAGGCGGGGAACCGUAAGGUCCUGCCACUCGAAGAUGAGCCCACGUCCUAUCAGCUAGUUGGUGGGGUAAUGGCCUACCAAGGCGACGACGGGUAGCUGGACUGAGAGGUCGGUCAGCCACACUGGGACUGAGACACUGCCCAGACUCCUACGGGAGGCUGCAGUCGAGGAUCUUUUGCAAUGGGCGAAAGCCUGACAAUGCGACGCCGCGUGAGGGAUGAAGGUUUUCGGAUCGUAAACCUCUGUCGAGGGGGAUGAUGGUACUUGACAUUAAUAAUGUCAAGUAUUGACAGUACCCUUGAAGGAAGCCACGGCUAACUCCGUGCCAGCAGCCGCGGUAAUACGGAGGUGGCAAGCGUUACUCGGAUUUAUUGGGUGUAAAGGGCUUGUAGGCGGUUACGUAAGUUGAGUGUGAAAUCCCACGGCUUAACCGUGGAACUGCACUCAAAACUGCGCGACUUGGGUAUGGGAGAGGAGAAUGGAAUUCCCGGUGUAAGGGUGAAAUCUGUGGAUAUCGGGAGGAACACCAGUGGCGAAGGCGAUUCUCUGGCCCAUUACCGACGCUGAGAAGCGAAAGCGUGGGGAGCAAACAGGAUUAGAUACCCUGGUAGUCCACGCUGUAAACGAUGAGCACUAGGUGUCGGCCCCUUCGGGGUCGGUGCCGCAGUUAACACAUUAAGUGCUCCACCUGGGGACUACGACCGCAAGGUUGAAACUCAAAGGAAUUGACGGGGGCCCGCACAAGCGGUGGAACAUGUGGUUCAAUUCGACGCUACGCGAAGAACCUUACCAAGGUUUGACAUGUAAGUGGUAGUGAAGCGAAAGCGGAACGAUCCGCCGAAAGGCGGAAGCUUACACAGGUGUUGCAUGGCUGUCGUCAGCUCGUGUCGUGAGAUGUUGGGUUAAGUCCCGCAACGAGCGCAACCCUUAUUUUUAGUUGCUACUCGCAAGAGAGCACUCUAGAGAGACUGCCUCCGAUGAGGAGGAGGAAGGCGGGGACGACGUCAAGUCAGUAUGGCCCUUAUACCUUGGGCUACACACGUGUUACAAUGGAGUGUACAGAGAGAUGCAAGUCCGUAAGGCGGAGCUAAUCUCUAAAGCAUUCCCCAGUUCAGAUUGAGGGCUGCAAUCCGCCCUCAUGAAGCCGGAAUCGCUAGUAAGCGCGGAUCAGCUACGCCGCGCUGAAUACGUUCCCGGGCCUUGUACACACCGCCCGUCAAGCCAACCGAGUCAGCUGCACCCGAAGAUCCGCGCAAGCGGGUCGAAGGUGUGACUGGUGAGGAGGGCUAAGUCGUAACAAGGCAGCCGUACCGGAAGGUGUGGCUGGAUCACCUCCUUUCUAAGGAGUAA